GCCCGCGUGGCUUAGUGGUAGAGCGUAUCACUCGUACCCCUUGCGAUAUGAUAAGGUCAUCAGUUCGAUUCUGAUCGUGGGCA